UGGGUGCCAUCGGAAUGUUUCUUGAAAAUUCCUUCAGCCAUUUUAAUAUACUCGCCAUAUCCACUUCCGGAUUGUUCAUGUUUUCCCUCUGUAUGCGCCGAGGACUGCGUGUGUUCAGUCGUGGAGGUGGUGGUUGUUCCGGUAGUGGUGGUGGUUGUGGUGGUGGAAUGAGAAGUUUCAUAUUUGUGGAGAUAAGUCUCUGCUUUUCCGACGAAUUUUCCGAUGCCUUUCUCUUCUAGUUUGCCGUACUGUGAGGCGGCGUUAAGGAGGUCAGCGGCAGCUCCGGCGAGCUCAGACUUGUCGACCUUACUGUUUGGCUCGUGAUGGAGUUUUGCU
rnacentral:lncRNA from 1 species